UACACAACCUACCUAUAAGCGGGGGAUAGCCACUGGAAACGGUGAAUAAUACCCCAUAGUAUUACUAUAUUGAUAAUUUAGUAAUUAAAGCUCCGGCGCUUAUAGAUGGGUGUGCGUCCGAUUAGCUAGUUGGUAAGGUAACGGCUUACCAAGGCGACGAUUGGUAGGGGGCGUGAGAGCGUGACCCCCCACACGGGUACUGAGACACGGACCCGACUCCUACGGGAGGCAGCAGUAAGGAAUAUUGGACAAUGGAGGCAACUCUGAUCCAGC
rnacentral:rRNA from 1 species